ACGUAGGGGGCGAGCGUUGUCCGGAAUUACUGGGCGUAAAGGGCGUGUAGGCGGCCAAGUAAGUCAGUCGUGAAACCCAGCGGCUUAACCGCUGGCUUGCGAUAGAAACUGCCUGGCUUGAGUGCAGUAGAGGGGAGUGGAAUUCCCAGUGUAGCGGUGAAAUGCGUAGAUAUUGGGAGGAACACCAGUGGCGAAAGCGGCUCCCUGGCCUGCAACUGACGCUGAGGCGCGAAAGCGUGGGUAGCAAACAGGA
rnacentral:rRNA from 1 species